CGGCUGGCAGGGAGGGUAGAAAAAUCUGUUGAUUCCUCACUCAUAAUUUCACUAUUGAACUGACCAAAAGAAGGGCUGGCAGCCAAGAGGGAGAUCUCUUUUCAUGGAGGUUGCUUCCUUCUGGGAGUUUUCCAGUCAGCCCAUAUCUUCAGAAUGGGUGAUUUACCUUUGAAUUCAAAAGAAGGCCAAGUCUGCAGGAAUUUGGGUUAGAGCAUCCAGAAGCAGAGCGCAACCUGGUCUCUAAUGGUUGUCCUUGGAAGUCAUUGGUGCCAGACUCAAAUACCGUUAUGAUGCUUUGUUAUUAGAGUGCUGACAGGCUACAAAUUCUGUUAUACUAUUAGCAUGGUUUCUUUUCUCAGACAUCCUAACGGAAAUCCAGGUAGUCAACUCUACAUUUCUGGGACGUGCUCUGGUUCUUGGUUUCAGUGUCCGUGUAGGAAUAUUUAAUGUGGAUUUUGCUAAUUUGUGGUGAAGAUAUGAACCGUUCUAGCUCACAGUUGUGUGUGACACUGAGUCCUGGGAAGCAGAUAACCGUCUUUUGUUGUGCUGCUGUGAUCCCACUGUAAGGUUAAUAGUAAGAUGUGUUCUGCUUAUUUUCAAAAGUGCACAAGGAGAUACCAAUAUUUUUUCCAGCAGUGCUGGCUGAUAAGACUACUGAAACUUAGAAUAACUGAUAUUUAGGCCCUUUUUUUAAUAGUUUAUGUUGUCCAUGUGGUUUGACUAUCAUGCCAACAUUUAUCUUGGGUGGGUGACUCUGCUUCCCUUUUUUUUUUGGGUGAUGAUGAAAAUCUUUGUAGCUAAUUAGAUCAUGUUCCCUGAUGUUUUCACGCCUAUUUCACAUCCAAUUUUCUAUCUGAAUGUGAAGGUCAUGACUGAGCCCUAAUCUGUACUUCAAAUAUAUUUUGCUGGCUAGAGCUGCAUGUGUUCCUGAACCUGUUCCUAAACAUUCUGUGAGCAGAUCCUGACUUCUGUGAGAGAUCACAUCAGUUUAUAGCACGUGCUGAGCAACUUGUUCUCCUGAACAGUCCUUGGUGUUUGCUCUUUUAUGGAAUUAAUCAGACAGCAUGUGCUUGCAUUUCAGUCAUGGUUAUUAAACUUUCUGACUAAUCUCAAAAUGGCUGAAUUUAGGCUCUUCCUGUAAACAGUUUCAUAUUCUGUAUGAGAAUAUUUUCCAGAGAGUCUCACACAUUAAAAUUAUUGCAUGAUUUUAGAAUAAAACUGCAAAUAUGAACCAAACACUUGAAGAAAUACCUUAUGGAAACAGAAAAUAAAUAAAUGCUGAGAAGCUUUAAAUCUC
ensembl:lncRNA